GCACGCGUGAGUGAUGAAGGCUUUCGGGUCGUAAAACUCCUCGUUGUUAGGGAAGAACAAGUGCUAGUUGAAUAAGCUGGCACCUUGACGGUACCUAACCAGAAAGCCACGGCUAACUACGUGCCAGCAGCCGCGGUAAUACGUAGGUGGCAAGCGUUAUCCGGAAUUAUUGGGCGUAAAGCGCGCGCAGGUGGUUUCUUAAGUCUGAUGUGAAAGCCCACGGCUCAUCCGUGGAGGGUCAUUGGAAACUGGGAGACUUGAGUGCAGAAGAGGGAAGGGGAAUUCCAUGUGUAGCGGUCAAAGGCCUAAAGGUGUGGACGAACACCAGGGGCGAAGGAGCCUUUUUUGG
rnacentral:rRNA from 1 species